rnacentral:rRNA from 1 species
AGGACGAACGCUGGCGGCGUGCUUAACACAUGCAAGUCGAGCGGAAAGGCCCUUCGGGGUACUCGAGCGGCGAACGGGUGAGUAACACGUGAGUAAUCUGCCCCUAGCUCUGGGAUAGCUCCGGGAAACCGGGAUUAAUACCAGAUACGACCACUUUAGACAUCUUCUGUGGUGGAAAGAACUUCGGCUAGGGAUGAACUCGCGGCCUAUCAGCUUGUUGGUGAGGUAACGGCUCACCAAGGCGACGACGGGUAGCCGGCCUGAGAGGGCGACCGGCCACACUGGGACUGAGACACGGCCCAGACUCCUACGGGAGGCAGCAGUGGGGAAUAUUGCGCAAUGGGCGAAAGCCUGACGCAGCGACGCCGCGUGGGGGAUGAAGGCCUUCGGGUUGUAAACCCCUUUCAGCAGGGACGAAGCGAAAGUGACGGUACCUGCAGAAGAAGCGCCGGCUAACUACGCGCCAGCAGCCGC